CUGGUUCACAUAUACCUGCGGUAUGUCGGUGGGUUAUUUUCGUUAGCAGUUCAACCAAAUAAUUCACAAAAGAAUGUAUGCAGACCACAGGCAUAUGUGAACCAGGUUUAAUUUGCUCAUCAAAUAAAUUUAAUUUCCAAAGGUGUCAAGCACAUCAAACAAACAACUUUCUUUAACAUUAAAAAGUUUAAAAAUCCAAUGAAUUCUGCCUGGUUUGCUAUUGAAUUGGGUUAGAAGAUAACUUGAUAACUUUUUCUUUUUUU